AUGACUGCAAAACCCGAAACCUCUGUGGGCUCCCAUAUGCCUCGCUGCGUUCGCAGCACACAGCCGGCAAUCUGUGCAACAGCCCAUCGCCGAUGGGAACACAAACAAGGGCUGUCAGAAAAUUUCUGUUCAAAGAUGUACUUCAUUUUCAAGAAAGCCCACUCCUUCCUGGCCACCUGUACUGAGUCUUCUUCAGCUCCAUCUUUGUGCAGCACAGUGUUGCAGCCUGGCCUGAUGCAGCAGUUGAAGCGAGUAAUGAAGGCGUCAUGUUUGAAGCCAGACCCAUCACACCGAGCAAGAGCAGCCCAGCCCCGACAGGCCGAGCCACACGAACCUCGCAGCCCUCUCCCUCCCUCUGGGGCCACCUCUUCCCGGCUGCCGCUGGCCCGCAGCCCACUCCUCUGCCCCCACAGCCCCACAGAGGGUUUUGGUGCUCCCCCCUCCUGCCUCCCUGUGAAUUCUCCAGCCAAAGGCCACCUCGGAAAGUUGGCCGUGCAGCACCUUGCGUCAGUCCCCGCACGGCUCAUGAUUCAGCAGCCGUACGGGUUUCGUACCUGGGAGGGCUGUGCCAGAAACCGCAAGUGUUCCUGAGCCAGGAACAGCAAAAGGAACUGGGAGUUUCCAUGCAGAAAGCCGACAAUGUCUGCAGCAGGUUUUCUUGUAAAUUAGCUGCGUUACAUUGCCAAGGGGCUGGAUGAGAGGAGGAAAACCGGCAUCUGGGUUUGUAAAGCCCAGAGAGCCCGAGCUCUUCUGGAGAACAGAAGUGACGCAUUGCUGCUCUGAAGUGUGUUAAAAGGGAGCAAAACUCCUACUGGAAGUGAGGCUACAAAACCACGAAGGAUUUGGGGAAAAUCCCAGGC
rnacentral:lncRNA from 1 species